GACGAACGCUGGCGGCGUGCUUAACACAUGCAAGUCGAACGGAGUGGCGAACGGGUGAGUCACACGUGGGUGACCUGCCCUGCACUUCGGGAUAAGCCUGGGAAACUGGGUCUAAUACCGGAUAGUGUGGGAUGGGCCCGCGGCCUAUCAGCUUGUUGGUGGGGUAAUGGCCUACCAAGGCGGCGACGGGUAGCCGGCCUGGGAGGGUGGCCGGCCAAAGUGGGUCUGGGACACGGCCCAGAGUCCUUUGGGUGGCAGGAGUGGGGAAUAUUGCGCAAUGGGCUGAAGCCUGAUGCGGCGGCGUCGGAUGGGGAAUGGAGGCAUUGAGUUUGUAAACUGCUCAGCCCGAGGACGCGGUACAUGAGGAAGACGCACAGCCUAGCUGCGUGCAGGAGCCGGGGUAAUAU
rnacentral:rRNA from 1 species